rnacentral:tRNA from 1 species
GAGCCCGUGGCUCAAUGGUAGAGCGUUGGACUCCAAUACCAAAGGUCGCGGGUUCGAAUCCCAGAUGUUUCA